UUCCUCAGACACGGCUAAGAUCUCUGGAGAAGGCAAAGGUGCGGUCUAGAAUAUGAGACUCCUGGGUCUUCUCCUGUGCCUGGUGGCAGGUCCCCAUGGUGUCCUGUCCCAGGUGCAGGUGCAGCUGCAGGAGUCCGGACCCGGCCUGGUCAAGCCCUCACAGCCCCUGACCCUCACCUGCACGGUCUCCGGUGUCUCCAUCACCACUAGUUACUACUACUGGAGCUGGAUCCGUCAGCCACCAGGAAAGAGCCUGGAGUGGAUGGGGUACAUAAGCUACAGUGGUAGCACUAGCUACAACCCAUCCCUGCAGAGCCGCAUCUCCAUCUCCA